rnacentral:rRNA from 1 species
UUGGAGGGCAAGUCUGGUGCCAGCAGCCGCGGUAAUUCCAGCUCCAAUAGCGUAUAUUAAAGUUGUUGCAGUUAAAAAGCUCGUAGUUGAAUUUCGGGGUUCUACCGUUGGUCGGGCUUUGUCUGUACUGGUGUGUAGAAUUUCUACCUUCUGGGGAACCAUCAUGCUAUUAAUUUAGCGUGGUGGGAAACCAGGACCUUUACCUUGAAAAAAUUAGUGUGUUCAAAGCAGGCUUAUGUCUGAAUACAUUAGCGUGGAAUAAUAGAAUGGGACGGUGGUCCUGUUUUGUCGGUUUCUGAAUCACCGUAAUGAUUAAUAGGGAUAGUUGGGGGCAUUAGUAUUCAAUUGUCAGAGGUGAAAUUCUUGGAUUUAUUGAAGACUAACUUCUGCGAAAGCAUUUGCCAAGGAUGUUUUCAUUAAUCAAGAACGAAAGUUAGGGGAUCGAAGACGAUCAGAUACCGUCGUAGUCUUAACCAUAAACUAUGCCGACUAGGGAUCGGACGAUGUUAAUUUUUCUUGACUCGUUCGGCGCCUUACGGGAAAC